rnacentral:rRNA from 1 species
UACGAAGGGGGCUAGCGUUGCUCGGAAUUACUGGGCGUAAAGCGCACGUAGGCGGUCUUUUAAGUCGGGGGUGAAAUCCUGGAGCUCAACUCCAGAACUGCCUUCGAUACUGGAAGACUUGAGUCCGGGAGAGGUGAGUGAAACUGCGAGUGUAGAGGUGAAAUUCGUAGAUAUUCGCAAGAACACCAGUGGCGAAGGCGGCUCACUGGCCCGGUACUGACGCUGAGGUGCGAAAGCGUGGGGAGCAAACAGG